rnacentral:rRNA from 1 species
ACGGGGUGCAGCAGGCGCGAAAACUCCACAAUGUACGGAAGUACGAUGGGGUUAUCUCGAGUGCAGUCCGAUAAGGGCUGCUUUUCCAUAGAGUAAUAUCCUGUGGGAAUAAGAGGGGGGCAAGACUGGUGUCAGCCGCCGCGGUAACACCAGCCCCUCGAGUGGUGGGGACUAUUAUUUGGCCUAAAGCGUCCGUAGCUGGCUGUACCCGUCUCCCGGUAAAUCCGGCGUCCUAAGCGUCGGUUCUCGGGUGAUACCAUACAGCUAGAGGGUGGGAUAGGUGAGCGGUAUUUCUGGGGUAGGGGCGAAAUCCUUUGAUCCCAGGAGGACCACCAGUGGCGAAGGCUGCUCACUAGAACACGCCUGACGGUCAGGGACGAAAGCUGGGGCAACGAACCGGAUUAGAUACCCGGGUAGUCCCAGCUGUAAACGAUGCUAGCUAGGUGUUGGGUCGGCCACGCGCCGCCCCAUUGCCGCAGGGAAGCCGUUAAUCUAGCCGCCUGGGGAGUACAGCCGCCCGGCUGAAACCUAAAG